rnacentral:rRNA from 1 species
GGACUACCGGGGUAUCUAAUCCCAUUCGCGACCCACGCUUUCGUGUUUCAGCGUCAGGAGCGGACCAGUCUCUUGCCUUCGCUUUUGGUGUUCCCCAUGAUAUCAACGCAUUUCACCGCUACACCAUGAGUUCCAGAGACCUCUUCCGUCCUCAAGCCCUGCCGUUUCCCGCGCAGCCUCCCGGUUGAGCCAGAAGAUUUAACGCGAGACUAACAGAGCCGCCUACACACCCUUUACGCCCAAUGAUUUCGGAUAACGCUCGAGGCACUCGUAUUACCGCGGCUGCUGGCAC